CAUAACGUCGCAAGACCAAAGAGGGGGACCUUCGGGCCUCUUGCCAUCGGAUGUGCCCAGAUGGGAUUAGCUAGUAGGUGGGGUAACGGCUCACCUAUGCUACNAUCCCUAGCUGGUCUGAGAGGAUGACCAGCCACACUGGAACUGAGACACGGUCCAGACUCCUACGGGAGGCAGCAGUGGGGAAUAUUGCACAAUGGGCGCAAGCCUGAUGCAGCCAUGCCGCGUGUAUGAAGAAGGCCUUCGGGUUGUAAAGUACUUUCAGCGGGGAGGAAGGGAGUAAAGUUAAUACCUUUGCUCAUUGACGUUACCCGCAGAAGAAGCACCGGCUAACUCCGUGCCAGCAGCCGCGGUAAUACGGAGGGUGCAAGCGUUAAUCGGAAUUACUGGGCGUAAAGCGCACGCAGGCGGUUUGUUAAGUCAGAUGUGAAAUCCCCGGGCUCAACCUGGGAACUGCAUCUGAUACUGGCAAGCUUGAGUCUCGUAGAGGGGGGUAGAAUUCC
rnacentral:rRNA from 1 species